rnacentral:rRNA from 1 species
UACAGAGGUCUCAAGCGUUGUUCGGAUUCAUUGGGCGUAAAGGGUGCGUAGGCGGCGCGGUAAGUCGGGUGUGAAAUCUCGGGGCUUAACUCCGAAACUGCAUCCGAAACUGCCCGACUAGAGGUAGGUAGGGGAGAUCGGAAUUCCUGGUGUAGCGGUGAAAUGCGCAGAUAUCAGGAGGAACACCGGUGGCGAAGGCGGCUCGUCGUGGACCGAUACUGACGCUGAGGCGCGAAAGCCGUGGGGAGCAAACAGG